UGGGGAAUAUUGCACAAUGGGCGCAAGCCUGAUGCAGCCAUGCCGCGUGUAUGAAGAAGGCCUUCGGGUUGUAAAGUACUUUCAGCGGGGAUGAAGGGAGUAAAGUUAAUACCUUUGCUCAUUGACGUUACCCUCAGAAGAAGCACCGGCUAACUCCGUGCCAGCAGCCGCGGUAAUACGGAGGGUGCAAGCGUUAAUCGGAAUUACUGGGCGUAAAGCGCACGCAGGCGGUUUGUUAAGUCAGAUGUGAAAUCCCCGGGCUCAACCUGGGAACUGCAUCUGAUACUGGCAAGCUUGAGUCUCGUAGAGGGGGGUAGAAUUCCAGGUGUAGCGGUGAAAUGCGUAGAGAUCUGGAGGAAUACCGGUGGCGAAGGCGGCCCCCUGGACGAAGACUGACGCUCAGGUGCGAAAGCGUGGGGAGCAAACA
rnacentral:rRNA from 1 species